ensembl:misc_RNA Metazoa_SRP Metazoan signal recognition particle RNA
GCCGGGCAUGGUGGUGUGUGCCUGUAAUCCCAGCUUCUCAGGAGGCUGAGGCAGGAGAAUCACUUGAACCCGGGAGGGGGAGGUUGCAGUGAGCUGAGAUUGCGCCACUGCACUCCAGCCUGGGUGACAGAGUGAGACCCUGUCUCAA